UUCCGCGUUGUUUCUCUUAAGUUAGGGAAAACGCAGGAAUUAUAGAUUUGCCUGAUCGCACAAAAGCGCAGCAAUGGCGUAAGACGUAAUGUGGAAUCAAGCAAUUAGCGGGCUGCGGGUUGCAGCUUGGCCGGCAAACGGAAUGAGAUCUGUUAAUCUAAAUUCAGAAGCUAUUCCCCUAAUAAAAGUACUGCUUUCACAACGCUGGUGUUCUUAAAACGGCAAAAGCAGGCUUACCGAAAUAAUGCGCCCCUAUGCAAGCGACAACCGUGAGGUUGACGACUUUGCGAGAAGACUCGGGGCCAACGGUUUACCCGGUCAUGAGGUCAUUUUGCCCGCAGCUCUAUCAAUAA
rnacentral:ncRNA from 1 species